CCUACGUGAGGCUGCAGUGAGGAAUAUUGGUCAAUGGGCGCGAGCCUGAACCAGCCAAGUAGCGUGAAGGAUGACUGCCCUACGGGUUGUAAACUUCUUUUAUAAAGGAAUAAAGUGAGGCACGUUUGCCUUUUUGUAUGUACUUUAUGAAUAAGGAUGGGCUAACUCCGUGCCAGCAGCCGCGGUAAUACGGAGGAUCCGAGCGUUAUCCGGAUUUAUUGGGUUUAAAGGGAGAGUAGAUGGGUUGUUAAGUCAGUUGUGAAAGUUUGCGGCUCAACCGUAAAAUUGCAAUUGAUACUGGCAGUCUUGAGUACAGUUGAGGUAGGCGGAAUUCGUGGUGUAGCGGUGAAAUGCUUAGAUAUCACGAAGAACUCCGAUUGCGAAGGCAGCUUACUAAACUGCCACUGACAUUGAUGCUCGAAAGUGUGGGUAUCAAACAGGAUUAGAUACCCCUGUAGUC
rnacentral:rRNA from 1 species